rnacentral:rRNA from 1 species
UGGAUUAAAGGUGGCUUUCGGGCUGUCGCAGAUGGAUGAGCCUGCGUUGGAUUAGCUAGUUGGUGGGGUAAGGGCCCACCAAGGCUACGAUCCAUAGCUGAUUUGAGAGGAUGAUCAGCCACAUUGGGACUGAGACACGGCCCAAACUCCUACGGGAGGCAGCAGUGGGGAAUAUUGGACAAUGGGGGCAACCCUGAUCCAGCAAUGCCAUGUGUGUGAAGAAGGCCCUAGGGUUGUAAAGCACUUUAGUUGGGGAGGAAAGCCUCAAGGUUAAUAGCCUUGGGGGAGGACGUUACCCAAAGAAUAAGCACCGGCUAACUCCGUGCCAGCAGCCGCGGUAAUACGGGGGGUGCAAGCGUUAAUCGGAAUUACUGGGCGUAAAGGGUCUGUAGGUGGUUUGUUAAGUCAGAUGUGAAAGCCCAGGGCUCAACCUUGGAACUGCAUUUGAUACUGGCAAACUAGAGUACGGUAGAGGAAUGGGGAAUUUCUGGUGUAGCGGUGAAAUGCGUAGAGAUCAGAAGGAACACCAAUGGCGAAGGCAACAUUCUGGACCGAUACUGACACUGAGGGACGAAAGCGUGGGGAUCAAACAGGAUUAGAUACCCUGGUAGUCCACGCUGUAAACGAUGAGUACUAGCUGUUGGAGUCGGUGUAAAGGCUCUAGUGGCGCAGCUAACGCGAUAAGUACUCCGCCUGGGGACUACGGCCGCAAGGCUAAAACUCAAAGGAAUUGACGGGGACCCGCACAAGCGGUGGAGCAUGUGGUUUAAUUCGAUGCAACGCGAAGAACCUUACCUGGUCUUGACAUCCUGCGAACUUUCUAGAGAUAGAUUGGUGCCUUCGGGAACGCAGUGACAGGUGCUGCACGGCUGUCGUCAGCUCGUGUUGUGAAAUGUUGGGUUAGUCCCGCAACGAGCGCAACCCCUAUUGAUAGUUACCAUCAUUAAGUUGGGUACUCUAUUAAGACUGCCGCUGACAAGGCGGAGGAAGGUGGGGACGACGUCAAGUCAUCAUGGCCCUUACGACCAGGGCUACACACGUGCUACAAUGGGUAUUACAGAGGGCUGCGAAGGUGCGAGCUGGAGCGAAACUCAAAAAGG